CUUCCGCGCGUGGGGCCGGGGGACGCAGGAGUCGCUCCAGGGUGAGGCCGGGCGGACUCGGGCUCCGACCGCGGCCGUCCCCGCCGGCGCUUCCGGCUGUCUCGGCGUCGGUGUGAGCAGUAGGACCUCGGCUUGCGGCGCUUCUGGGGUCUCGGUGGUGCUUUGCGGGCGUAGCAGCCUCAGGUUUCCGAGCCGAGGGUGCUCGCGGGUCCCUGCCUCCCCUGAGCCGCCUUCGCCUCUGCGCUCCCCUGGUACCACUUCGUCUCCUUUGCCCUUUGGGAUCUGGCUCAGCCGUGUCCUUGUGAGGCCCUGCAGUGUGUCCCCGCCCCAUCAGUGCUCCACCUGCCUCUUACUAGUCCAGGGGACCUAAGCCCGUCUGUCCAUCUGUGUGUGUCACCUCCAGUGGUGCUACCUAGGCAGAGUUGCACACCCUAAUUGCCUGAAAUAUUUGCCAUCUGAACUUCUACAGAAAAAUCUUGCCAAUGUGGUCUACAGUAAGUGUGUGAUGGAAACCUGGAAAGCCUGGUUCUCUGAAUAAAGCAGUCAUUCUGGAAAUCAGAUACCGAUUACAAAAAUCUGUGAGAUACAGUUGAAUUUCAUCUUGUUGGAUCAUCAUGUCAUGGGUUCGGUAGCUUGCUCAGUAUUGCUCAGGGGAAAGAACUC